GACGAACGCUGGCGGCGUGCUUAACACAUGCAAGUCGAACGGUAAGGCCCUUCGGGGUACACGAGUGGCGAACGGGUGAGUAACACGUGGGUGAUCUGCCCUGCACUUCGGGAUAAGCCUGGGAAACUGGGUCUAAUACCGGAUAGGACCACUGCCUGCAUGGGUGGUGGUGGAAAGCUUUUGCGGUGUGGGAUGGGCCCGCGGCCUAUCAGCUUGUUGGUGGGGUGCUGGCCUACCAAGGCGACGACGGGGAGCCGGCCGGAGGGGGUGACCGGCCAAACUGGGACUGGGAUACGGCCCAGACUCCUACGGGAGGCAGCAGUGGGGAAUAUUGCACAAUGGGCGCAAGCCUGAUGCAGCGACGCCGCGUGAGGGAUGACGGCCUUCGGGUUGUAAACCUCUUUCAGCACCGACGAAGCGCAAGUGACGGUAGGUGCAGAAGAAGGACCGGCCAACUACGUGCCAGCCGCCGCUGUAA
rnacentral:rRNA from 1 species